GCUCUGUUAAACUAUCUGCCUUCUGGUACCGCUCGUAGAUAACAGAAGGAAACCUGAGCCCGAAAGGCAAUCCCCCACCUUCUUCCACCUAAUGUAACCCUUUCAGGCUCCUUUGAAGGCAUUUCAUCUUGAAGGGCUGGCUGCUCUCACACACUUUUAUAUCCGCUGGAGUGAUCGAGAAAUCAUGUCUGGUGGAAGAAGUGAGUUUCUGUGCCUUGGAAUGAUCUUGGGCUUUUGGAGCUCCGUGAGUUGGAUGCCUGUUGGAGGCUGCCCGCAUAAAUGUACGUGCAUUGCUUCCAACGUGGAUUGUCAUGGACUAGGACUCAAAACUGUACCGAGGGAUAUUCCCAGGAAUGCUGAGAG
rnacentral:lncRNA from 1 species